rnacentral:rRNA from 1 species
UACGUAGGUGGCGAGCGUUGUCCGGAUUUAUUGGGGUUAAAGGGUGCGUAGGCGGUCCUAUAAGUCAGUGGUGAAAUAUCUCAGCUCAACUGAGAGGGUGCCAUUGAUACUGUAGGACUCGAGUGAAUUUGAGGUAGGCGGAAUUGACGGUGUAGCGGUGAAAUGCGCAGAUAUCAGGAAGAACACCAAUGGCGAAAGCAGCUCUCUGGGACGGUACUGACGCUGAGACGCGAAAGCGUGGGGAGCGAACAGG